UUAAAUUUUAGCUGUCCAUAUCUAUUUUGAUCUCCUUAUUUAACUUAUUUAGAAGAUUACAAAUUAAACUUCAGUGUCCAUAACUAUUUUGAUCUCCUUAUUUAACUUAUUUACAAGAUUACAAAUUAAACUUCAGUAUAAUUGGACAAUAAAAAAGGCGGGAAGGUUGCACGAAAUACUAAUUUCUAUUAAGACAACGAAAAUAUAGAUUUUGAAAAAAUUUGUAGUCUGAAAUUACCAGCUCAGAUGAAAAGACAAGGCAAGCCGAGGAAGUCUGAUUUAUCUGUAAUAGGAUUAUCUAAAAAAGGGAAUAAAAGCAAAAGGAAACAUUUUGAUAUUUAGAGUAUACCUAAAUUUGCUGAGGACAUAGGAAAAGGAACACCAAUUAUAACCAAUUCUCAAAUGGAGUUUAUAAAUUUCAUAAUCAAUGAGAAAAUAAAUGCAGGUGAUACAAAACCCAAAAAUUUGGGCAAUCGUCAGAUAACUUAUAAAAAGUUAUCUAACCUUAUACAACUUUGUCUGAAGAAAACAAGGCAAGAUGGAUUAUAGAUAAAAUUUAUAAAGGGUCUGCAAAGAAUAAAAUUUAUAAUAAUGAAAUGGUUGAUUUUGAUGACAUUCUUACCAUAAAAAAUAGUAUGCAAUGUUUAAAAAAUGAUGAAGUCGAUUUUCAAAUGAUAAAAUCAUAUUUGACCAAUCAAGCUUGGAUACAGGUUCAAGAUUUACAAGUCAAGAUUAUAGCGGAGUCCUGGAUUUGUCAUGAUAUUUGUUUGUGCUGGUUCCACUUUAAAUGUCAAAAAAUUAAGAAAAAACCUUAUAAAAUUCAUUGGUUUUGUAAUAAUUGUUGUUAAAUAUAUUUACUAGUUUUGUUAUAAUUGUUUUAAAUGUAUUUAUAUUUGUCUUUUAUAUUAUAAAAUGAUUGUAAAUAUUUAUGUAUUAAAAUUAUAGUUGUUAAUAAUUUGUUUUUAUUGAAUAAAAUUA